rnacentral:rRNA from 1 species
UACGUAGGGGGCAAGCGUUGUUCGGAAUUACUGGGCGUAAAGGGCGCGUAGGCGGCCAACUAAGUCCGACGUGAAAUCCCCAGGCUUAACCUGGGAACUGCGUCGGAUACUGGAUGGCUUGAAUUCGGGAGAGGGAUGCAGAAUUCCAGGUGUAGCGGUGAAAUGCGUAGAUAUCUGGAGGAAUACCGGUGGCGAAGGCGGCAUCCUGGACCGACAUUGACGCUGAUGAGCGAAAGCUAGGGGAGCAAACGGG